rnacentral:rRNA from 1 species
GUCUAUGGCUAUACCAUCCUGAAUGCUCCUGAUCUCAUCUGAUCUCGAAAGCUAAGCAGGGUCGGACCUGAUUAGUACUUGGAUGGGAGAUGAUGUCAUAUACC